rnacentral:tRNA from 1 species
GCCUGGGUGGCUCAGUCGGUUGAGCGUCCGACUUCGGCUCGGGUCAUGAUCUAGUAGUUUGUGGGUUCGAGUCCCAUGUUGGGCU